ensembl:snRNA U6 U6 spliceosomal RNA
GUACUUGCUUUGGCAGCACAUACACUAAAACUGGAAUGAUACAGAGAUUAGCAUGGCUCUUGUGCAAGGAUGACACAUAAAUUUGUGAAGUGUUCCAUAUUUAA